UUCAAUGUGUAUUUAUGUUCUGUUAGGUGUUGAGGGAGCUACUUGAGCUCGUUUGUUUUUUGUAACAUGUUUAGACAAUCUUCCUUGUACAGAGCUUCUUGCUUGUGUCAUUUUGUCAUGUUGCUCAUGGGUAGUGUGGCUUUUGAUGUGGGAGUAUUGUAUGCAGCAUCUUGAAACAAGUUGAUGUGGUGGCAGAAGCAGAAGAAAAAAAGAGGAGCUGCAGGUGCAAGCAUUAGUGGUGGCCGAAGUGGGCAAGCAAUCAUAAAUAGUCCAAUAAACAAUGAUCCAUUUCUAGCACACUAAUGUCUUUGUCCCGGAUGCAAUGUUAAACAAUAAAUUGUCACCGAUUCAUGAUUUUGUGGAACAAUGACUAAUACAAAUUGUAUCUUGGUGGAUCCAAUGUACUUUGAAGUUUAAAAUAUGGGUUGGAGUACUAUUAGUUCA